rnacentral:lncRNA from 1 species
UUACAAGGAGCUCAGCGUACAGAAGCUCGUUCCACGAAUCCGGCACACCAGGAAGGCACCAAUGGCUGCAGUCCUGGUAUUUUAGAGGAGCUAUUCUUUCCUCCUCUGACAUUUGUUGCUUCUGGUGCUUCCGGUAGAUUGAUGGGUGACCAUCCUUUCGGAAAUCAGUCAAUCUGGUAAUAUUAAGGUAGGUGACAUGUGUUUUCAUCCCCUUCAGCACUGACUCCAAGACCAACAUCUUUGAUGGAUAUGGCGUUAGAUACGUCUCAUUCCUGAUCGGCUCAGUUUCACUAUCACAUGCUCCUCCA